rnacentral:rRNA from 2 species
GAUUGGUGCUUGCAUCAUGAUUUACAUUUGAGUGAGUGGCGAACUGGUGAGUAACACGUGGGAAACCUGCCCAGAAGCGGGGGAUAACACCUGGAAACAGAUGCUAAUACCGCAUAACAACUUGGACCGCAUGGUCCGAGCUUGAAAGAUGGCUUCGGCUAUCACUUUUGGAUGGUCCCGCGGCGUAUUAGCUAGAUGGUGGGGUAACGGCUCACCAUGGCAAUGAUACGUAGCCGACCUGAGAGGGUAAUCGGCCACAUUGGGACUGAGACACGGCCCAAACUCCUACGGGAGGCAGCAGUAGGGAAUCUUCCACAAUGGACGAAAGUCUGAUGGAGCAACGCCGCGUGAGUGAAGAAGGGUUUCGGCUCGUAAAACUCUGUUGUUAAAGAAGAACAUAUCUGAGAGUAACUGUUCAGGUAUUGACGGUAUUUAACCAGAAAGCCACGGCUAACUACGUGCCAGCAGCCGCGGUAAUACGUAGGUGGCAAGCGUUGUCCGGAUUUAUUGGGCGUAAAGCGAGCGCAGGCGGUUUUUUAAGUCUGAUGUGAAAGCCUUCGGCUCAACCGAAGAAGUGCAUCGGAAACUGGGAAACUUGAGUGCAGAAGAGGACAGUGGAACUCCAUGUGUAGCGGUGAAAUGCGUAGAUAUAUGGAAGAACACCAGUGGCGAAGGCGGCUGUCUGGUCUGUAACUGACGCUGAGGCUCGAAAGUAUGGGUAGCAAACAGGAUUAGAUACCCUGGUAGUCCAUACCGUAAACGAUGAAUGCUAAGUGUUGGAGGGUUUCCGCCCUUCAGUGCUGCAGCUAACGCAUUAAGCAUUCCGCCUGGGGAGUACGGCCGCAAGGCUGAAACUCAAAGGAAUUGACGGGGGCCCGCACAAGCGGUGGAGCAUGUGGUUUAAUUCGAAGCUACGCGAAGAACCUUACCAGGUCUUGACAUACUAUGCAAAUCUAAGAGAUUAGACGUUCCCUUCGGGGACAUGGAUACAGGUGGUGCAUGGUUGUCGUCAGCUCGUGUCGUGAGAUGUUGGGUUAAGUCCCGCAACGAGCGCAACCCUUAUUAUCAGUUGCCAGCAUUAAGUUGGGCACUCUGGUGAGACUGCCGGUGACAAACCGGAGGAAGGUGGGGAUGACGUCAAAUCAUCAUGCCCCUUAUGACCUGGGCUACACACGUGCUACAAUGGAUGGUACAACGAGUUGCGAACUCGCGAGAGUAAGCUAAUCUCUUAAAGCCAUUCUCAGUUCGGAUUGUAGGCUGCAACUCGCCUACAUGAAGUCGGAAUCGCUAGUAAUCGCGGAUCAGCAUGCCGCGGUGAAUACGUUCCCGGGCCUUGUACACACCGCCCGUCACACCAUGAGAGU